rnacentral:rRNA from 1 species
UUAAGCGACUAAGCGUACACGGUGGAUGCCCUGGCAGUCAGAGGCGAUGAAGGACGUGCUAAUCUGCGAAAAGCGUCGGUAAGGUGAUAUGAACCGUUAUAACCGGCGAUGUCCGAAUGGGGAAACCCAGUGCAAUUCGUUGCACUAUCGUUAACUGAAUACAUAGGUUAACGAGGCGAACCGGGGGAACUGAAACAUCUAAGUACCCCGAGGAAAAGAAAUCAACCGAGAUUCCCCCAGUAGCGGCGAGCGAACGGGGAGCAGCCCAGAGUCUGAAUCAGCUUGUGUGUUAGUGGAACGGUCUGGAAAGUCCGACGGUACAGGGUGAUAGUCCCGUACACCAAAAUGCACAGGUUGUGAACUCGAAGAGUAGGGCGGGACACGUGGUAUCCUGUCUGAAUAUGGGGGGACCAUCCUCCAAGGCUAAAUACUCCUGACUGACCGAUAGUGAACCAGUACCGUGAGGGAAAGGCGAAAAGAACCCCGGCGAGGGGAGUGAAAAAGAACCUGAAACCGUGUACGUACAAGCAGUGGGAGCACCCUUUAGGGUGUGACUGCGUACCUUUUGUAUAAUGGGUCAGCGACUUAUAUUCUGUAGCAAGGUUAACCGUAUAGGGGAGCCGCAGGGAAACCGAGUCUUAACUGGGCGUUAAGUUGCAGGGUAUAGACCCGAAACCCGGUGAUCUAGCCAUGGGCAGGUUGAAGGUUGGGUAACACUAACUGGAGGACCGAACCGACUAAUGUUGAAAAAUUAGCGGAUGACUUGUGGCUGGGGGUGAAAGGCCAAUCAAACCGGGAGAUAGCUGGUUCUCCCCGAAAGCUAUUUAGGUAGCGCCUCGUGAACUCAUCUUCGGGGGUAGAGCACUGUUUCGGCUAGGGGGUCAUCCCGACUUACCAACCCGAUGCAAACUACGAAUACCGAAGAAUGUUAUCACGGGAGACACACGGCGGGUGCUAACGUCCGUCGUGAAGAGGGAAACAACCCAGACCGCCAGCUAAGGUCCCAAAGUCACAGUUAAGUGGGAAACGAUGUGGGAAGGCACAGACAGCCAGGAUGUUGGCUUAGAAGCAGCCAUCAUUUAAAGAAAGCGUAAUAGCUCACUGGUCGAGUCGGCCUGCGCGGAAGAUGUAACGGGGCUAAACUGUGCACCGAAGCUGCGGCAGCGACACUAUGUGUUGUUGGGUAGGGGAGCGUUCUGUAAGCCUGCGAAGGUGGCCUGUGAGGGUUGCUGGAGGUAUCAGAAGUGCGAAUGCUGACAUAAGUAACGAUAAUGCGGGUGAAAAGCCCGCACGCCGGAAGACCAAGGGUUCCUGUCCAACGUUAAUCGGGGCAGGGUGAGUCGACCCCUAAGGCGAGGCCGAAAGGCGUAGUCGAUGGGAAACAGGUUAAUAUUCCUGUACUUGGUGUUACUGCGAAGGGGGGACGGAGAAGGCUAUGUUAGCCGGGCGACGGUUGUCCCGGUUUAAGCAUGUAGGCGGAGGUUCCAGGUAAAUCCGGUACCUUUUUAACGCUGAGGUGUGAUGACGAGGCACUACGGUGCUGAAGUAACAAAUGCCCUGCUUCCAGGAAAAGCCUCUAAGCAUCAGGUAACAUUAAAUCGUACCCCAAACCGACACAGGUGGUCAGGUAGAGAAUACCAAGGCGCUUGAGAGAACUCGGGUGAAGGAACUAGGCAAAAUGGUGCCGUAACUUCGGGAGAAGGCACGCUGAUAUGUAGGUGAAGCCCCUGCGGGUGGAGCUGAAAUCAGUCGAAGAUACCAGCUGGCUGCAACUGUUUAUUAAAAACACAGCACUGUGCAAACACGAAAGUGGACGUAUACGGUGUGACGCCUGCCCGGUGCCGGAAGGUUAAUUGAUGGGGUUAUCCGUAAGGAGAAGCUCUUGAUCGAAGCCCCGGUAAACGGCGGCCGUAACUAUAACGGUCCUAAGGUAGCGAAAUUCCUUGUCGGGUAAGUUCCGACCUGCACGAAUGGCGUAAUGAUGGCCAGGCUGUCUCCACCCGAGACUCAGUGAAAUUGAACUCGCUGUGAAGAUGCAGUGUACCCGCGGCAAGACGGAAAGACCCCGUGAACCUUUACUAUAGCUUGACACUGAACAUUGAGCCUUGAUGUGUAGGAUAGGUGGGAGGCUUUGAAGCGUGGACGCCAGUCUGCGUGGAGCCAACCUUGAAAUACCACCCUUUAAUGUUUGAUGUUCUAACGUUGGCCCCUAAUCGGGGUUGCGGACAGUGUCUGGUGGGUAGUUUGACUGGGGCGGUCUCCUCCCAAAGAGUAACGGAGGAGCACGAAGGUUAGCUAAUCCUGGUCGGACAUCAGGAGGUUAGUGCAAUGGCAUAAGCUAGCUUGACUGCGAGCGUGACGGCGCGAGCAGGUGCGAAAGCAGGUCAUAGUGAUCCGGUGGUUCUGAAUGGAAGGGCCAUCGCUCAACGGAUAAAAGGUACUCCGGGGAUAACAGGCUGAUACCGCCCAAGAGUUCAUAUCGACGGCGGUGUUUGGCACCUCGAUGUCGGCUCAUCACAUCCUGGGGCUGAAGUAGGUCCCAAGGGUAUGGCUGUUCGCCAUUUAAAGUGGUACGCGAGCUGGGUUUAGAACGUCGUGAGACAGUUCGGUCCCUAUCUGCCGUGGGCGCUGGAGAAUUGAGGGGGGCUGCUCCUAGUACGAGAGGACCGGAGUGGACGCAUCACUGGUGUUCGGGUUGUCAUGCCAAUGGCAUUGCCCGGUAGCUAAAUGCGGAAGAGAUAAGUGCUGAAAGCAUCUAAGCACGAAACUUGCCCCGAGAUGAGUUCUCCCUGAGACUUUAAGUCUCCUGAAGGAACGUUAAAGACGAUGACGUUGAUAGGUCGGGUGUGUAAGCGUAGCGAUACGUUGAGCUAACCGAUACUAAUGAACCGUGAGGCUUAACCUU